UGUGUGUGUGUGUGUGUGUGUGUGUGUGUGUGUGUGUGUGUGUGUGUAUAAAAGAGUGCUGGUGUGUGAGGCGAGCGUUCUACAGUUGAUAGCUUGACAGGGAGGAUGUACCGCUCCCGUGUGUCUCCGUAUGGCCAGGGCAGUAUGGAGAGACAUCAUCACCAUGUGGUCCUACACGGUGUUUGUAUCGCUCUGGCCAUGUUUAGCCAGGUGGCUUCCGAGACCUUCCAUGUUCUAGCAUCAGGGACCAACUCUGGCGGUCUGUUUAUGACCACAUUGGAUAAUGUCUCUGAGUCCUUUCCUCUGGAGGUGACCAUGGACUGCUGGGCAGACAACACCUGGAUCAUGCUUCGGCUAUGGAGCAGUGCUUGGCUCAUACACUCUCUUUUUACUGUGUUCCAGAGGAACGUGUUUGGUCCAGUCUCCUGCAACCCUGAGAUUCACCCUCCAUCAUUCUAUCUGAUCUGGACUAUGAUCAACGUGGCAAAGAUCACCUGGCUGUUUCUUUGGGACAGGCAUGACCUUCUACCAUCCCUGUUUUUUAAAUGGGUUAUGCCAAUUCACAGCUUCCAAAUGCUGUAUGUGUCCUACCGAAACCUGCACAAUCACAGAACCUGGCUGGCCAUCAAUAACCCUAAAGAACCCUGGUGGACCCGCUAUCUGACCCAGAACGGACUGGCUGUAUUUGGCUGGUGGACUCUCCUGGAGGCCCUGGUCAGUCUGGGAGUUGUGCUGCGGUACCAGGCUGGGCUACCUGAUCCUCUGGUCAGCUCAAUGGUGCUCACUCUACUUCUCCUAGGGAUGCUGAUCUGGCUUCCUUAUGCUUGCGGCAACUGUCCUGAACUGUAUCCGUUUGAUCGCUGCAUGCUUUUACCCAGAUGACACCUCCAGCUAUUUGACCAAGGAGCCCAACCGUAAACCUGACUUCUGCAAGACUGUAUUUCAACCGAUGGGGAAGGACAGCACAAUGGCUUCACAAACUGGGUUUGUGAAUCCUGUCUUCUGUAAUAACUUAGACAAUUAACAGAGGGUACGGUGUCCAUAUUAGGACAGAAACGACUCCUGUUGAGGAUUUACCCAAAGUGAAUUGUUUUGCAUGUAAAUAAUUUUGAUACUGAUUAAUGGUAUUUUCUGUAAGAAUGGACAUUGUUCUCUUGGUGAUGGAUAGCUACAGCUUGAGUUAACUCUAAGCUUAGAGUGUUGACAUGCCUUCACAUUCAUCACAAACAAAUAGAUUCCAAACAGUGGCUUAACAAUUCAGAAUGUUGAAUAAACUUUAUUUGAUCUCACUUUACCGGUU
ensembl:lncRNA